rnacentral:rRNA from 1 species
UGGGGAAUUUUGGACAAUGGGCGAAAGCCUGAUCCAGCAAUGCCGCGUGUGUAAAGAAGGCCUUCGGGUUGUAAAGCACUUUUGUCCGGAAAGAAAUCCUUGGCUCUAAUACAGUCGGGGGAUGACGGUACCGGAAGAAUAAGCACCGGCUAACUACGUGCCAGCAGCCGCGGUAAUACGUAGGGUGCAAGCGUUAAUCGGAAUUACUGGGCGUAAAGCGUGCGCAGGCGGUUUGCUAAGACCGAUGUGAAAUCCCCGGGCUCAACCUGGGAACUGCAUUGGUGACUGGCAGGCUAGAGUAUGGCAGAGGGGGGUAGAAUUCCACGUGUAGCAGUGAAAUGCGUAGAGAUGUGGAGGAAUACCGAUGGCGAAGGCAGCCCCCUGGGCCAAUACUGACGCUCAUGCACGAAAGCGUGGGGGAGCAAACAGGAUUAGAUCGUGGUAGUCCACGCCCUAAACGAUGUCAACUAGUUGUUGGGGAUUCAUUUCCUUAGUAACGUAGCUAACGCGUGAAGUUGACCGCCUGGGGAGUACGGACGCAAGA